CCUACGGGUGGCAGCAGUGAGGAAUAUUGGUCAAUGGGCGCGAGCCUGAACCAGCCAAGUCGCGUGAAGGAUGACUGCCCUACGGGUUGUAAACUUCUUUUAUAAAGGAAUAAUGUGUGGUACGUGUGCCUUUUUGUAUGUACUUUAUGAAUAAGCAUCGGCUAACUCCGUGCCAGCAGCCGCGGUAAUACGGAGGAUCCGAGCGUUAUCCGGAUUUAUUGGGUUUAAAGGGAGCGUAGUUGGGUUGUUAAGUCAGUUGUGAAAGUUUGCGGCUCAACCGUAAAAUUGCAAUUGAUACUGGCAGCCUUGAGUACAGUUGAGGUAGGCGGAAUUCGUGGUGUAGCGGUGAAAUGCUUAGAUAUCACGUAGAACUCCGAUUGCGAAGGCAGCCUACUAAACUGCGACUGACAUUGAUGCUCGAGAGUGUGGGUAUCAAACAGGAUUAGAUACCCUUGUAGUC
rnacentral:rRNA from 1 species